GACGAACGCUGGCGGCGUGCUUAACACAUGCAAGUCGAACGGAAAGGCCCUUCUUUUGUGGGGUUCUCGAGUGGCGAACUGGUGAUUAACACUUGAGUAACCUGCCCUUGACUUUGGGAUAACUUCAGGAAACUUAGGCUAAUACCGGCUAGGAUCUCCUGCUGCAUGGUUGGGGUUGGAAAGUUUCGGCGGUUGGGGAUGGACUCGCGGCUUAUCAGCUUGUUGGUGGGGUAGUGGCUUACCAAGGCUUUGACGGGUUGCCGGCCUGAGAGGGUGACCGGCCACACUGGGACGGAGAUACGGCACAGACUCGUAAGGGAGGCAGGAGUGGGGAAUAGUGCACAAUGGGAGGAAGCCUGAUGCAGCAACGCCGCGUGCGGGAUGACGGCAGUCGGGUUGUAAACCGCGUUCGCCUGUGACGAAGAGUGAGUGACGGUAAUGGGUAAAGAAGCACCGGCUAACUACGUG
rnacentral:rRNA from 1 species